rnacentral:rRNA from 1 species
UAAACGAUGAAUACUCGCUGUUUGCGAUAUACAGUAAGCGGCCAAGCGAAAGCGUUAAGUAUUCCACCUGGGGAGUACGCCGGCAACGGUGAAACUCAAAGGAAUUGACGGGGGCCCGCACAAGCGGAGGAACAUGUGGUUUAAUUCGAUGAUACGCGAGGAACCUUACCCGGGCUUGAAUUGCAACCGAAUUACCUUGAAAGAGGUAAGCCGCAAGGCGGUUGUGAAGGUGCUGCAUGGCUGUCGUCAG